CAGAGUUGUCGCCCUCGCGGGUAGAUCUCCCACCCACUGUUAUUGCUACCGCGUUGCUUUGGCGGGCUGCUGGGCCUAGCCCGGCCGCCGGCUCCGGCCGGGGCGCGCCCGCCAGAGGCCCGACAAAUUCUGAUUGUCAGUGUCGUCUGAGUACUAUACAAUAGUUA
rnacentral:misc_RNA from 1 species